rnacentral:lncRNA from 1 species
CCAGGUGAGCAUCUUACAGCCUGGAGCAGCGCCCACACCCCCAGGUGAGCAUCUGACAGCCUGGAGCAGCACCCACACUCCCAGGUGAGUAUCUGACAGCCUGGAGUAGCACCCACACCCCCAGGUGAGCAUCUGACAGCCUGGAACAGCAUCCACUCCCCCAGGUGAGCAUCUGACCACAUUGAAUGGCAUCCUCACCUCCAGGUGAGCAUCUGACAGCCUGGAACCGCACCCACACCCCCAGGCGAGCAUCUGACAGCCUGGAGCAGCACCCACACCCCCAGGUGAGCAUCUGACAGCCUGGAGCAGCACCCACACCCCCAGGGGAGCAUCUGACCGCAUGGAAUGUCAUCCUCACUUCCAGGUGAGCAUCCGACAGCCUGGAGCAGCACCCACACCCCCAGGUGAGCAUCUGACCGCAUGGAAUGGCAUCCUCACCUCCAGGUGAGCAUCCGACAGCCUGGAACAUAAUUCUCCAACCCCAGGUGAGCAUCUGACAGCCUGGAACAGCAUCCACACCCCCAGGUGAGCAUCUGACCGCAUGGAAUGGCAUCCUCACCUCCAGGUGAGAAUCUGACGCAUAAAACAGCACCCUGCAACCCCAGGUGAGCAUCUGACAGUCUGGAACAGCAUCCACACACCCAGGCGAGCAUCUGACAGCCUGGAGCAGCACGCACACCCCCAGGCGAGCAUCUGACAGCCUGGAGCAGCACACACAACCCCAGGCGAGCAUCUGACAGCCUGGAGCAGCGCCCACACCCCCAAGUGAGCAGGUGACAGCCUGGAGCAGUGCCCACACCCCCGGGCGAGCAUCUGACAGCCUGGAGCAGCACCCACACCCCCAGGUGAGCAUCCGACAGCCUGGAGCAGCACCCACACCCCCAGGUGAGCAUCUGACCGCAUGGAAUGGCAUCCUCACCUCCAGGUGAGAAUCUGACGCAUAAAACAGCACCCUGCAACCCCAGGUGAGCAUCUGACAGUCUGGAACAGCAUCCACACCCCCAGGCGAGCAUCUGACUGUAUGGAAUGACAUCCUCACAUCCAGGUGAGAAUAUGACAGAAUAAAGCAGCACCCUGCACCCCCAGUUGAGCAUCUGACAGCCUGGGGCAGCACCCACACUCCCAGGUGAGCAUCUGACAGCCUGGAGCAGCACCCACACCCCCAGGUGUGCAUCUGACAGCCUGAAACAGCACCCUCCACCACCAGAUGAGCAUCUGACAACCAGAACCUGCACCACACACCCCAAGGUGGGCAUCCGAUGGCAUGGAACAGCACCCCCACUCACAGGUGAUGUGACUGCGUGGAACAGCACGUCCCCUCAGGUGAGCAUCUGACAGCAUAAAACAGCACCCCACAACCCCAGGUGAUCAUUUGCCAGCCAGGAACGGCAACCCACAUCCCCAGGUAAGUGUCUGACAGCCUAGAGCGGCACCUGCACACUUAGGUAAGAAUCUGAAAGCCUGGAUCAACACUCGAACCUUCAGGUGAGCAUCUGACAGCCUGGAGCAGCAGUGCCCACCCCUGGGUGAGGAUGCUCACCUGAGGUUGGGAGUGCCAUUCCAGGCUGCCAGAUCCUCACCUGGGGAUGGAAGGUGCCAUUGUAGGUUUUUGGAUGUUCGCAUGGGGGUGAAGGGUGGUGUUCCGGGUUAUCAGAUGCUCACCUGGGGACGCGUGGAAAACCAUGCCCACCACAAGGUGAGCAUAUGACAGCCCGGAACAACACCCUCCACCCCCAGGUGAGCAUCUGACAGCCUGGAACAGAACCCCACAACUUCAAAUAAGAAUUUGAUAAGUGGGGAAAAGCUCCCCGCCCUCAGGUGAGUGUCUGACAGCCUGGAACAGCACCCCACAACUGCAGGUGAGCAUCUGAUAGCCUGGAUAGGCACUCCACACAGCCAGGUGAGCAGCUGAAAGCCUGGAAUGGUACCCCACAUGCAGGUGAGCAUCCGACAGCCUGGAACAGCAGCUCACAUCCCCAGGUAAGAUUCCAACAGCAUGGAACAAGACCACUGCCCCCAGGUGAGCAUCUGGCAGCCUGGAAAAACAACCCCCUUCAGGUGAGCAUCUGACAGCCUGGAACAGCACCCUCCACCUUCAGGUGAGAAUAUGACAGCCUGAAACAGCACCCCACACCCCAGGCAAAAAUCUGACAGCAUGGAACAAGACCACUGCCCCCAGGUGAGCAUUUGACAGCCCGGGAAAGUACCCUCCAUGCACAGGUGAGCAUCUGACAGCCUGGAAACCCCCCCACUGCUUCCAGGUGAACAUCUGAUAGCCUGGAACAGAACCCCAGUUCUCCAAGUAAGGAUCUGAAAGCACGGAACAGCACUCUCACCCCCAGGGGAGCAUCUGACAACCUAGAACAGCACCCUCACCCCGAGGUGGGCAUCUGGCAGCAUAAAACAGCACCCCUACUGGCAGAUGAGCAUAUGACAGCGUGGAACAGCACCCACGCACCCAGGUGAGCAUCUGACAGCCUGGAACAGCACCCCACACCCCCAGGUGAGCAUCUGACAGCCUGGAACAGCACCCACACCCCCAGGUGAGCAUCUGACAGCCUGGAGCAGCACCCUACACCCCCAGGGGAGCAUCUGACAGUCUGGAGCAGCACCCACACCCCCAGGUGAGCAUCUGACAUCCUGGAACAGCACCCCACGCCCCCAGGUGAGCACCUGACAGCCUGGAACAGCACCCCACACCCCCAGGUGAGCAUCUGACAGCCUGGAACAGCACCCACACCCCCAGGUGAGCAUCUGACAGCCUGGAGCAGCACCCCACACCUCCAGGGGAGCAUCUGACAUCCUGGAACAGCACCCCACACCCCCAGUGAGCAUCUGACAACCUGGAGCAGCACCCCACACCUCCAGGGGAGCAUCUGACAUCCUGGAACAGCACCCCACACCUCCAGGGGGAGCAUCUGACAGCCUGGAGCAACACCCCACACCUCCAGGGGAGCAUCUGACAGCCUGGAACAGCACUCCACACCUCCAGGGGAGCAUCUGACAGCAUGGACAAGUCCUGCCCCCCGAACUCCAGCCCUUAAGAAAAUCAGAAGCCCUGGCAGGCACAUUGCCUCUGUGCUGUGCUUUUACCCAGCGAAGCAUCAGGGCAGACAGCCAAUUUCAACACUGCUCUUGGCUGGGAAGUGCCCUCAUCUCUGGCAGCCCCCACAGAGAAAGUGCAGGGCCCCGGGGCUGUGGCUGCCUCAGGGCAGGUCUCCCUUGUGACAGCCUCUUGUCAUGGGCCUGGGAGUGGACCCCUCCCAUCCCUGCCGUGCAUCCUGUUGAGUAGACAGCUCAGGCUAGUACCCAAGAGGGUGGCCAGCAGAUCACAGGGGAUGUCCCUUUUGUCUUAGCUGUUUAUGGGCUGGAGGAACCACUGUUCAGCCACAUCUCCUCUCCUGCCCCUCCUGCAUUCACCCGAGGUUGAUGGGAGCUCUGUGGGGGGAGACAGGCAGGGGAGGGGCCAGGCAACACCUGGGCAUAUCCCCAGGGUGCCUCCUCUGAUCCCCAGGAGGGGCAGCACCCACCCUCUUCUUUUUCCAAUUUGUUUUUAUUGUGGUUAAAUAUACAUAACGUAAAAUUUA